GGGGGAUAUUGCACAAUGGAGGAAACUCUGAUGCAGCAACGCCGCGUGAAGGAAGACGGUCUUCGGAUUGUAAACUUUUGUACUUGGGGACGAUAAUGACGGUACCCAAGCAGCAAGCUCCGGCUAACUACGUGCCAGCAGCCGCGGUAAUACGUAGGGAGCGAGCGUUGUCCGGAUUUACUGGGUGUAAAGGGUGCGUAGGCGGCUUGGCAAGUCAGUUGUGAAAACUAUGGGCUCAACCCAUAGCCUGCAAUUGAAACUGUUGAGCUUGAGUGAAGUAGAGGUAGGUGGAAUUCCCGGUGUAGCGGUGAAAUGCGUAGAGAUCGGGAGGAACACCAGUGGCGAAGGCGACCUACUGGGCUUUAACUGACGCUGAGGCACGAAAGCAUGGGUAGCAAAC
rnacentral:rRNA from 1 species